rnacentral:lncRNA from 1 species
AUGAGGAGGAGGGUUUCUUGGUCCUCUGAUGUUCUUUCCCCAGCUUCUUGAGUGAGAAACUUUGUUUAUUAACAUUUGAUCUUUUUUUAUUGACAAACAAAUGCACUUAAUGCUACAGAUUCUCCUCUGGCUCUUAUUUAGUCACAUUUCACAAGUAUUCUACAGAAUACACCUGUUAGGUUUCAUUUCUAGUCUUGCCAAAGCAAACAUUUUUUUAAAACAAGAUACAAGUUAGGCAAAUCAUAAAAGAGAAGGUUGAUAAAUUUGACAUCUGUAUUAAAAGAAUCUAAAGUUUAAAGUUAAAAGAAAAAAGAGACUUGAGGAAUAUUUAUUUUUCAUGGAAGGACAAUUUGGUAUCUAUAAUAUAGUAUUGGUUUCCAAAACCAAUUUAAAAAAAAAAAAAACUCAGUAUAAUACUGGACAUAGGGUGUUAACAGUAAUUCACAGAAGAGGAAAUAAAAUAAGUAGCUAGUAAAUAUAAGAGAAAGAUGUUGAAUGUUCCAAGUAAUCAAUUAAAUGACAAUAAAACGAAUGGCAUGAAACAUUUUCUCACCCAAUAGAUUGACAACAGAAUCCCAGAAAAGGGAGUGUGAGAGAGGUACAACCUCCAAGUUAAUGUACAAAGAAAAUUCAAAGCCUUUUACUGUAAGAACUCUCAGCAAUCUAGAACAUGAAGUGAACUCCUCCCAUCUGAUAAAGGACAUUUGCAAAACAACUAACAGCUGACAUCAUAUUUAAUCAUGAAACAGUGAACAUUUCCACUGUCAGAUUAGGAACCAGGAAAAGGGGAUCAUCCACAUUACUUUUUUAAAAAUUAAAGUAUAGUUGAUUUACAAUGUUGUGCCAGUUUAUGCUGUACUGUAAAGUGACCCAGUCAUAUAUAUGUGUGUAUACACACACACACACACACACACACACACACACACACAUUCCUUUCCUUAUAUUAUCUUCCAUCAUGGUCUAUUCCAAAAGCUUGGAUAUAAUUCCCUGUGCUGUACAGCAGGACUUCAUUGCUUAUACAUUCUAGAUGAAAUAGUUUCCUAUCUACUAACCUCAAAAAUAAACAUAAAAAUUAAUAAGUAAAUGUGCCUCAACUGUAGAUGACAUUAUUGGUUAUGCAUAAAAUCUCAAGGUGACACACAAAAUCCGUCACAUUAAAAAACCAAUUAGUAAGACUAAUAAGUGAAUUUACACAGAUCAUAAAAUAAAAGGUAGCAUACAAUGUCCACUGUAUUUUUAUAUUCUAGCUGCAAAUAUCAAAAUAACAAAAUUCCAAUUACAAGUGAAUUAAAACAUGCAAAAUACUUAGCAAUAAUUUUUUAAAAGAUAUGCAGGAUCUGUACGCUGAUUUUUGGACCAUAAGCAAACUGUCGUACUGGCUGUUAGGGGCUACAUGGGGGCUCUUGUUAAAAUGGCUAAAUAAGCAGCGUUUCCGCUGCGCCACAACAGGAACUCCUAUUUUUUCUUUUAUAUGAAUCAUUUUCUAUAAACCAAGGGUCAGUCACCUUCUCCUUUCCCUUUAAUAAAUUUGCUUCUCUUUGCCUGAACACCCGGCUCAUUCUCUUUUUCUCUGCACUCGCCUUAUACCUGCCUCAUGGGAUGGCUGCAGAACUGACUGAAACAAUGUAUGCUGAGUAUUCAGUGUAAUAUUUGGUUAGAGAUACACCCAAUAAAUGGUAGCGGUUAUUUUUUUUUUUUAUGCUNUUUAAAAAAAAAAAAAAAAAAAAAAAAAGGAGGAGGAGGAAAAGAAGAGGAAACUGCCAUCUAGGAAAAGUUCUCAACCUUGAACCCUGCAGAAACCCUGGUUGCUCCAGCCCCACCAGGACCCUGGGGACCAAAGAAGCAGCAGGGCUCAGCUGGCUUCCAAAGCUACUAUAAAGUCAGACAAAAGGGUCUCUUCCUUUCCAGGACCCUUUUCCUUUGUAAAAUGAGUUAGAAUACAAUGGUUUCCUCAAAUGUUUAAGCAUUAAUUUAUGCCUUCAAAUUCGUAAGAGGGAUAGUACCGAAAAGCUGAGAAACAAACGUAUGUGGAAUUUGACAAAUGCCGUUCUGUCAACAAUAAGAGAAAAGCUAAAGCCUGAGAUAUUGUGUACUUUGACAGAACUAGUCAAUUAUAGCUCUCAGAAGUAAUAACCUGCAGUCGUUAAAAAAAAAAAUAUCAGAUGUACAUGGAAAGCUGGAGUUUACCUCCAAUCCAUCCAUUAAUGCUCCCAGACUGAAUGAUCCACUUCUGGGAGAUAAAAGUCUUUGUAAAAGGAUUCUCUGCAGUAGGGGAUCUGAAGAUGCUGACACGAGGGCUACAGGGAGAAAUCCAAGGUAGAAGGGAAAGGCUACCAGGAGACAGAGGUUGAGAGCCAGCACUAUUUACGUUCCCACCAAGUUGACUUCAAAGGCUCUCUAAUGCACUCUUGGGUUGGUUUUGCUUUGGAGUCCCAGAUUUUCCUGUUUGGUUCCAGGAAUUUGCUCAUUUGGUUAAAGGCAGCCCAGUCAGUGUACAGCUCCUCCGUCCUCUAGAUAUGUUUGCUAAAAGUCUUUCAUAUUAAGAUAUAAACACAUCACCAAAAAAAAAAAAAGCGGUUUUUAAGUAGGCUUCAUGCUUUUUUUUUUCCCAACACAAUCACUGGAUAUGGCAAUGGUAGUAUUGGAAAAUUCUAUUUACUGAAUGCCUACAUUGUCUAGACAUGUGCUGAGUCAGGUGCUAAUAAUUGCAGUAAUUCCCAGCAUCAGAACACACCCUAAAUGUCAGCCUCACACACAGGGAAACUAAAGUUCAGAUUGAGUUAGUGGUACCCAGCCGGUAAACAGUGCAGUCAACAUCGAAGUUAUGUCUGCCUCUCUCCAAAAUCCAUGGUCCUUGCAUUUCAUCCUCGUCAUGUAUUGUUUAAAGGAUCCAACAUUGCUGCAACUACGGCAUAAGUCAUAGCUGAGGCUCAGAUCCAAUCCCUCGCCCAGGAACGUCCUUAAGCUUGGGUGCAGACAUAAGAAAAUAAAUAAAUAAAAUAAAAGAAGCGCCAAUUCACAGUUUUAGCACUGAAGGCCACCCUAGGUCCCAAUGGGACAGGCUUGUGCCUAGGAAGCCAGCCCAAGAGAUAUGACCUCCUUGUGCUAUAGGACAGAACUGAGGCUUCUAAACCCCAGAAAGUACAAAAAGCAUCUUUUACUUUGAAGGUUUGGGAUGAGAGCUGACACAGAAGCUCUCUAAGUGCAGUGGGCCUAUUCCAGGAUGCUCUUACCAGUGAAGUGAGUCACCCCACAAAGCAUUCUCCUCUCAUACUGCUCAGAGCGCCAGGGUUGAACAUAUAGUGAGAUGUUCAGAUGCAGGUCAAGGUCAUGGUCAUCUGCAGGGCUGGGUAUUAUCCCCAAGUCAGUCAGUCAUUAACUCAAGGAAUUUCCCAAGGCAUAUAAUCUAACUUAACCUAAUUGAGCCAACUAAAUUUCCUCUGUUUACUCCCAUCAUUAAUUCUCUAUAUGAGACUAGGAGUUUUCAGAUUCACUUUGAAAUAAUAGUCUUUAGAAACCUAUUUCUCUCAAUUAUUUUAACAACAUACACUAUUUAAACACAUUUCAUCCAGCACAGUAUUGGAAACAAAAAUGGUGGCAAGGACCAUGUCCAGUGGAAUAAAUCCAGUUCCAAAUUUAGUUCUAUAAGACGAAUAUCAUCCACAACUUAUUAUAAGUUAACUGCAAUUCAGAGAAUUUAACUUACUUUAUGAAUAAGUGGCAUAAUCCAGAUUCAAGCAUAGGUUUUGUUCCAAGUCCAGUGCCCUCACAUACCAUAACACUUUGCCUUUAGGUCUGCAAACUCCAGAAAUUUUAAACUCUUAUUUAAAGGGUUUAGUUUGCAUAGACUCACAGACAUGAAGAAGAGACUUGUGGUUGCCAAGGAGGAAGGGGGUUGGGGAAGGAUGGACUGGGAAUUUGAGGUUAGCAGAUGUAAACUAUUAUAUCAAGGACGGAUAAACAAUGAGGUCCUACUGUAUAGCUCGGAGAAAUAUACCCAAUAUCCUAUGGUAAACCAUAAUGGAAAAGAAUAUGAAAAAGAACGUAUAUAUCUGUAUAACUGAAUCACUUUGCUGUACAACAGAAAUGAACAUAUUAUAAAGCCACUGUAGUUCAAUAAAAAAUUUUUAAAUAAAAAGACUUUUUUUUUUAAAAGGGCAUAGUUUUCAUGACUUAUAUAUGAGAGGUGAUUAUAAAAGGCUGAUCCAAAAUAAAUAAAUAAAUAAAAGG